rnacentral:rRNA from 1 species
UACGGGGGGGGCAAGCGUUGUUCGGAAUUACUGGGCGUAAAGGGUUCGUAGGUGGCUUGCUAAGUCAGACGUGAAAUCCCUCAGCUUAACUGGGGAACUGCGUCUGAUACUGGCGAGCUUGAGUGCAGGAGAGGAACGCAGAAUUCCAGGUGUAGCGGUGAAAUGCGUAGAUAUCUGGAGGAAUACCGGUGGCGAAGGCGGCGUUCUGGACUGCAACUGACACUGAGGCACGAAAGCUAGGGGAGCAAACAGG